GAUCAUGGCUCAGGAUGAACGCUAGCUAUAGGCUUAACACAUGCAAGUCGAGGGGAAACGGCAUUAUGUGCUUGCACAUUCUGGACGUCGACCGGCGCACGGGUGAGUAUCGCGUAUCCAACCUUCCCUCCACUCGGGGAUACCCCGUUGAAAGACGGCCUAAUACCCGAUGUUGUCCACACAUGGCAUCUGACGUGGACCAAAGAUUCAUCGGUUGAGGAUGGGGAUGCGU
rnacentral:rRNA from 1 species